UACGUAGGGAACAAGCGUUGUCCGGAUUUACUGGGUGUAAAGGGUGCGUAGGCGGCUUUGCAAGUCAGAUGUGAAAUCUAUGGGCUCAACCCAUAAACUGCAUUUGAAACUGUAGAGCUUGAGUGAAGUAGAGGCAGGCGGAAUUCCCCGUGUAGCGGUGAAAUGCGUAGAGAUGGGGAGGAACACCAGUGGCGAAGGCGGCCUGCUGGGCUUUAACUGACGCUGAGGCACGAAAGCGUGGGUAGCAAACAGG
rnacentral:rRNA from 1 species